rnacentral:tRNA from 1 species
GGCGAUGAAAGGACGAGAUAGGCGAGCGCAGGAAUCAUAAUCCUGGGGUCGGGGGUUCGAGUCCCUCCCCCGCUACCA